UUUUAUUACAAAUCACAAUGAACUAAACUGUAAAAAUAAAUUAUUUCCUUCUGUGACAUGAUGCUACAUGUAGUAGUGCUUUAAUUCUUAAUUUUUGGUCUAUUGGGUUUAAGUUAUUGGUUUAAAUAUGGACGGGGAACCUCAAUAGAUUUUGAAUGUCUAUUUAUGCUGUUCAUACUUAUGAUUUGUUUUUUAUUUUGCUUACAUUCUCGUGCUGAGUUUACAUGUUCCAUGAGACGUUUCAUUGAAGUGGUGCUCUUAGGUUUAUGAGCUUCUUCUUUGUCAUCCUUGAUAGCAUCCAUCUAACAAAG
rnacentral:misc_RNA from 1 species